AAUAAAAAAAUAUAUUUUUAUGUAUAUAUAAUAAUAUUAUAUAUAUACUUAUUAUUAAAUUCAUAAAAUUAAACUUUAUUUCAUAAUUCUUUUUUCAAUAUAAUAAUAUAAAAAUAAUAUAUAAAAUAUUUUAUGUUUUAUAAAGUCAAUUUAUUAAUAUAUAGAAAUAUAAUAUUAUAUAUUCUCUUUAAAAAUAAGUUAUGUAAAAUAAUUACUUGAAUUAUAUAUAUUAUAUAACAAUAAAUAUAAUUCAAAAUAUUCAAAAUUAAUUAUUAAAAUUAAAGUUCUCUAUAUAUUUUUUUUACUUAUAUAAUGUUUCAUAUUUUAAAAUAAACAAAAAGGAAAAAAUAUUAUGUAUAUAUUACAUAUGAGAAGAAUUUUUGCAAUAUAAAUACAUGUGUUCACCUUUAUUAUCACAUUAAUAUAUAAUAAUUUCAAAUUUGAUAAUUUUAUUUAUUUUGAAAUAAUGACAUAAAAAAUGGGGGGUUUAUAUUUAUUUUUCAAAUUUUAUGUAUUAUUGUAUAUAUAUAAUGAUUUUAUUAAACAAUUUAUUAUAUGAUGAAUUAUAUAGUUCAUUAUUGUAUUAUUAAUAUAUUAUUAAGAAAAUAAUAUUAUAUAAAUUUAGAAAAAAAUUUGAACAAAUAAUUAUAAUUUAAUAAGAAAAUAACUAUAUUAUAUAUUUAUAAAUAUAUAAAAGAAUUAUUUUCCCCCUUUUUUUUUUUUUUGAAGUAUGGAAAAAUAUGUAUAUAUUAUUUUUACAGGUUAUAAUUUAUUUAUAUAAUUUUAAUAUUCGUUCUUUAUAAUGUUCAAAAUUUUCUUAGCAACAAUAUAUAAUGUAGAAAAGUUUAUAUAUAAUCUUUCAAAUAAUAAAAAAUUUUAUAUAAUAUAAUAUAAAAUACACAAAAUAUAUAACAUAUAUAUAUUUUUUAUACACGAAGGAUAAUAUAUGUAAAAAAUAUAUAUAUAUAUAUGUAUUUUUUUUUUGGAGCAUUUAUUUUUAAUUGUAAUUUUUCAUAUAUUUCAAUUCAUUUUCUUUAUUUCAUGUAUAUUAUUGAAAUGUUUUCUUUGACAAUUCAUCUUUUACUUCUAUCAUAAUAUCAUCUACAAUUUGUUCGGUUAAGCCUUUUAAAUUUUUAUGGAAAAUCAUUUCUAAAGGUUCUUUUUCCAUGCUUUCAAUUAAAUUUAUAUUUUGCAUAUGUUCCAUUUUUGUUUCAUCUUUUAUUCUUCUUUUGCUUCUUCUUUUUUUAUUUUUACUUUAUUAUUGUUCCAAGUUUUUGCUAUAUAAUAAAAUCCAGCAGAAGCAAAAGCAAUACUCAUUAUUGUCAUACCAAUAUAUUUAAGGAUAUUAUUAUUUGUUUUUUUUUUGGGCCUUUCUUGUAUGAUUUUAUUUUUUAUUUUUCCCAUUUGCUUCGUAACAUAUGAUACUGGUAUCUUUCCACAUUCU
rnacentral:rRNA from 1 species